UACGAAGGGGGCUAGCGUUGCUCGGAAUUAUUGGGCGUAAAGAGCUCGUAGGCGGUCUGUCGCGUCGGCUGUGAAAACCCGGGGCUCAACCCCGGGCCUGCAGUCGAUACGGGCAGACUAGAGUGCGGUAGGGGAGACUGGAAUUCCUGGUGUAGCGGUGAAAUGCGUAGAUAUCAGGAGGAACACCGGUGGUGUAGACGGCUUUCUGGACCGUAACUGACGCUGAGACACGAAAGCGUGGGUAGCAAACAGG
rnacentral:rRNA from 1 species